UGGGGGAUAUUGCACAAUGGGGGAAACCCUGAUGCAGCGACGCCGCGUGAGUGAAGAAGCAUUUCGGUGUGUAAAGCUCUAUCAGCAGGGAAGAAGAAUGACGGUACCUGACUAAGAAGCCCCGGCUAACUACGUGCCAGCAGCCGCGGUAAUACGUAGGGGGCAAGCGUUAUCCGGAUUUACUGGGUGUAAAGGGAGCGUAGACGGCAAUGCAAGCCAGAUGUGAAAACCCGCAGCUCAACUGGGGGAGUGCAUUUGGAACUGUGUAGCUGGAGUGCAGGAGAGGUAAGCGGAAUUCCUGGUGUAGCGGUGAAAUGCGUAGAUAUCAGGAGGAACACCAGUGGCGAAGGCGGCUUACUGGACUGUAACUGACGUUGAGGCUCGAAAGCGUGGGGAGCAAACAGG
rnacentral:rRNA from 1 species